UUCAUCUUCGUUCGCUAUUUAAAUGUGUUUAUGUAACAAAACUUACAUGGAUAAAAGAUUGAUGUAACAAUAAGGUAUGUGACAUGUAAAGAACUGAAGCAAGCUUAAUUUGGACGACGAGGUCAUCAGAUAUGAAGUCUUACUUCUACAACAAAGCAUUUUGAAAACAGAAAGGCUUUUCUAAAAGCUCAGAAACGAUAUAUGACGUAGCUCUUUGACAUGCAGAUAGAAUCAAGAGAAAAAAGAAACCUAUUUUACAUUAGGCAAAUAAUUAAUGUUUUUCAAGAGGAACUUGCUUCGUUUUUCAUCAAACAAUGGAACUUUCAUUACAAAUCAUCUCAUGGAGAAUGGGAUUAUACACCAAAAUGUGGCAACAAAUUUUACACUUUUGAAUCAGGAAGAAUAUUAGACCAAAAAACUCGACAAAAAUAUCAAGAUGGAGAUACCAGUAAGUGGGACUGUACGAUAUUAUUU